GUUUAUUGCGUGUUUUGAAAUUUUUUUUUUAUGUAAAUGUUGUCAAAAUAUUUACGGUAGAUAUAAUACUAUUCAAACUAAAAUAAUAGCUAGUAUAUUCCUUUGAUAUCAUAAAAGGCGAGUAAAACUUGUGCGCACAAAAACUGAUAGAUUAAGAUAUAAAAAAAAUAUAUAUUUGGUAUUAAAACACUAAAAUUGUGCAAUCAAAAAUACUUAAAAUAGCCAAUCAAUCAAUCUAGAAUCUGAGGAAAAUAAAAAAAUAAAAAAUUCGUUUAUUUUUCCUUAUCGUUAGGUUGCCAGUAACAAAAACUAAUCGACAACUGACUAACAUGGACACUUAAUAUGUUUUUUUCUAAUUAAUGAACAAAUAGCAUAAUAUUUAUUUAUAUUUGCAUGGAAAAUUAUAACAAGUAGCUACAGAGCAUUUCUUUCAAAAUUUCAGUCAAAUAUCCCCUGUUGUUAGUAUAUAUUUUAACUGUAUUCAUAUAUUUAAUAAUAAAUUCUUCUAUCGUACAUCAAAAAUUGGUUCGGAAAACUUUACCGAACUAUAGAAAUCCGAAAUAGAUCCGAGUUCCAUCUUUCGCAUUCUAGACAUUUAAAUUCAGACCAUGACACAGAAUUCAUUAGUCGAGAUUCAUCUUAUACGAGGAUAUUUCCAGGAAUUACUGUGACUGAAUUAUUAUAUUAUUAAUGGGUUAUAUAAAUAUUGUUAUUUUGAAAAUUGAUUUUAAUCAAAAAUAGAAUAAAGGUAUGCCAAAGGAUCGUUAAUUGAUAAUAUGAAUCGCCAUAGCAACGAUGUUAUAUUUUAUUUCCGUAAGGUCCUUUUUCGGGCGUAAAAGUAUUCGCUUAGGAAAAAAUUUUAAAGCCAAAAUUAAAAAACUUUUUGUUGCAGCGCAUUAAACUUUUUAAGAAUUUGGGUAAAUGUAUGUCCGGAAUAAAGCAUUUAAAAUGUAUGGAAUUUUUUUGAUUGAGUUAUUUUCUGGACAGGUGAAAAACGAUCAUUGAAAAUGCUUGUGAGUAAAGUUAAACGUAAUUUGGAUAUUUUGAAUAUUCAUAAAAAUCGAAAUUAUUAUAAUUACACAUAGAAUAUUCGUUAAGUGUAUAAAUAAUUGAUUUAAGGUAUUAAUAGUGAUUUAGUUUGUGAGGCUUUUGUUUAGAGAUAAUAGCAUCGAAAGAAAAACAUUAAUAUAUUCACUUUACUACGAGUUUUGAAUUAUCUUAUAUAGAAGUGAGUCUUGUUAUGCUUGAACUGAAGUGUUUUGAAGAAGUAAUUAACUAUGUAUUGGAAUAACAAAUUAUACGAGAAGACAAUGGAAAUAGUUCAAAGGAAUCUAUUAAGAUCCUGUCAUAGAUUUUUUAUUUUUUUUCAUAAAAAUAUUUUACUAUGACACUCUGAUACUUAAUAUUGAGGACCUGUUAUAUGAUCUAUAUCACUAGGAAACCUCGGAAGUGUAUUUUUAACAACAAUUUCACUUAUUGAAAUAUGAAUAAGGAAAAGGUUUUUUAAGGUUUUUCAAUUUGAAUUUUAUUUUUCGUUAAGGGUUUUAUUUAUUUAUUUUUUAAAUAUGAUUUGAAUACCGAGUGGCACUUUUAUGCAUAAACUGAAUUUCAUAUUUCUGUGACAUUAAAAAUUCACGGGUAUUUUUAUUGUAUUUCUUAGCACACCAUAAAGAGGCAUUAUAUUAGAGAAAGAUUAUUGUUAUUAAAGAAAUAAAGAUGUCAAAUUAAACUAAUUGUAAAUUUUAAUCAAACUAUAUGAUCUGCGGAGAACCGAGAAAUGGGGGAUUGUAAACAAAGGAUUUAGAAAUAUCACAACAUUUGAAAUAACAUAAAUACUUACAAAGAUACUUAAGAAAAUGAACGUGUGUUCUAAACAAACAGUUCCUAGGAGUUCAGAUACACGAAGACCGAGGAAAACAAAUAGAGAAUUCUUUUCAGUAAAAACAAACCUUAAAAUGAACACAAAAUUAAGUGAAUAAUUCAAAUAAAAGUCAACAUUUCAAAUAUCUCUACACCACGUCACCUCUAACAAAGAAUGUAUUUCAAUGUAUUAAAUCAAGUGUAUUUUGGCCAUAUUCAAAACGAACGUAAUUGGUAAUUCAAUUCAAGAUUAAAAAAAGAUCAAGAUUAGAUGUCAAGCUGAACUUUGAAGUUGUAAAUAAUGUAUUACUCCAGCGAGUGAAAAUAGUUGUUAAAAAUAUAUACGUAUAAAACCAUGAAGAGAAUUCAAUACGUCUUGCUUAUGCUACGAGGUUAAUCGAUACAGACAUUGCCAUCAGUUUAAAUUCACACUAGUUUGUUCCUAAAUGUAUGCCUCGGAAGUGAAAAUACCAGGUAACUUAUUUAACAUUCAAUUAUUAAAAUUCAUACAAUCGAAAUGA